CGUAACCAUUAAUCAGCGCUCAUAUGCACCGCUAAUGAUAUUGCCACGGAAACUAGUUAACCUUAGCAAUAGCCCAUAUCAAUUCAUAUAUUUGAAAGUUUUCCUCUUUUCUCUCUCCCACUAAACUCUAUUUUCAACCCGUGUUUCCUUUUUAUCUCCCACUCCAAACCCUCUUCUUCUCCGUUUAUAAGCUCCACUGACACCAUCUUUGUCAUGCUUCAAGUAAUAGUCGAAAGCAGAUCAUCUAUAUUGUGCUUCAAGCCAACUCUGCAUUCCAUCGGAGCUUACGUCCCAACUUAAAACCAAUUGAUAGAAAUCUCAGCCUCUUGCUUAUUCUCCUCUUGACCAACAUCCAUACGCUUCACUACCAUUUUCAAGCAUAAUACAAACUUAUGAAAACCCUUGAUGUCUUUGCCUCCAACGAUGUCUUGCAGCUUCUCUAUUGGCAGUGACACAAGGCUAUUGUGUUGCAACCCACAUUGUACAAGCAAUCAUUGUUCUUUGAAGUAUGAUCCAAAUUAUGAUACUCAAACUGCACUUUAUAUCCAGAUAUUGACAAGGAUGAGGUUGAACGUCCAAGGAGAUAAUUUACAUGUGAGGAUGGAGACAAACUUUAUCAAAUUUUAUAUGUCAAGUUUAAGUUUUUUUUAUUAAGUUUAAUGUAUUAAAGCAAUUUGAAUUUGUAAUAGAUUUUGAACACAUGGAUUUAUACAAAA